GGGCCUGUAGUUCAGUUGGUUAGAACACGCCGCUCAUAACGGUGAUGUCGCAGGUUCGAAUCCUGCCGGGCCCACCA
rnacentral:tRNA from 4 species